rnacentral:rRNA from 1 species
UAGCGAAGGGGGCUAGCGUUGCUCGGAAUUACUGGGCGUAAAGGGCGCGUAGGCGGACAGUUUAGUCAGAGGUGAAAGCCCAGGGCUCAACCUUGGAAUUGCCUUUGAUACUGGCUGUCUUGAGUUCGGGAGAGGUGAGUGGAAUGCCGAGUGUAGAGGUGAAAUUCGUAGAUAUUGGGAGGAACACCAGUGGCGAAGGCGGCUCACUGGACCGGUACUGACGCUGAUGCGCGAAAGCGUGGGGAGCAAA